CAUCAAAACACCAGUUCCUGCAUGAUCACUGAAGUUAAGCAACAUUGUGCCUGGUCAAUACCUAGAUGUGUGACCACAUUGGAAUACCAGGUGCUGUAA